rnacentral:sRNA from 1 species
AGAGCACAACGACCAACACAGAGACCCCAGAGUCUGGGUGAUGGAAGAGGAAGACAGAAAACAGUUUAUGCAACCUGUGAAAACACAGCACUCAGGAGCUGAGGCAGAGGCUCUCCAGUGUGGCUAGCCUGAACUACAGAGCAAGGUUCUGUCAACAGAGUGGGGUUAGGGGGAAAGGGACAGAGAAGAGGGAGGGAGGAGAGAAAAGAGAGAGUGUGAGUUUUCUCACCAAGUGUCUCUGGAGUCAAAGACAAUUCAAUCAAACUUUCUGAGGGCAGAAAUUGACAAGGUGAUUUAAAAGUUAUACAGACAUACAAAAGAUAUGAACUAGCAAGCUCUGAUUUUCAGGAAAGGUUGAAUGUUUUUGUCAUGCUAAAACCUCAAGUUCUCCGUGAAGCUGCAGUGACGAAAUCCAGUGCAGGUGCGUGCGGACAAUGGACUCACUGUGGCCAUGAAACACGGUCACUUUUGUUCCAAAAUCUGAUUCUUGACAAAGCCAAUAAAGGAAGGAAACAGUCUUAAACAAAUAGUUCUAGAAGAACAGGACAGUACUACAGGAAAAGAAUUCAAUGUCCAGUUCAUCACACAUGGCAAUGAAAGUAAGGUGGAUCAGAGACCUGGACACAAUUGCAGCUUCUGGGACCGGAUAUGGGAAAAUAGUUCCCCAACCUCAGGGAAGAUUUUGAAGAACACAGGAAGCUUUCCCCAUGAAAGAAAAACAAAUGAGGCAAUUCUGAUUGUAUCCAAAGUAAACUCUUCUGCCCAACAAGAGACUGUUUACUUCCACUUCUGGUCAGGAUGGAGUCACAGGAUCCAAGCUUAAGCAUCCUGUCCCCUGCACUGUGAUUCCUGGGGACCAGGACAGUCUGGGCACUGAGGCAUGCCUGUGGAGUGGCCCGUUCAGAGAGAACCAUCUGGGGCCAGAGACGUUGACUCAAACAUUGAAGCCUGGCUCCAAGUUGUAUCUUUGGGUCAUACGUGUGGGUGGGAAGUCCCAAAUGCAGGUCUCUUUACCUAGCAUGUCAGUCCAUUCUGGAGGCUCCUUCCCCACCCUUCAGGGUAGCUGUUGAGGGUUUAAUCAGGCUACCCACCCCCAUGGCCAACCCCAGUUUCUUCCCAGGUACUCGGCUCCUCCUUCCUUGCCUCCUGUCCAGGGCCCUGGCUCCAGCUGCUCUGCCCGGCUGAGCGUUACUAUUUUUGGCUGUAACCUAAGCAGCUGCCCAUUAAAAUUCCAUUAGUUUCAAAGGCUGGAGCUGCAGUUGAUAUUUCUAAUUAUUGUGAAAUUAAAAUUGUCUCUGUAAUUUAAUGAUAAUUGCACGAGAUGCCAGCUGGUGCCCCAGGGAGCUGCCCUGUUCCUAAGCAGAACUUGGAAAGUCUCUUGAAAGUUCUUUGAAUAAGGAAACAGGAAGGGGAGGAGGGGGCCGGCACACAGUUGGAAUCUAAAUUUCCGGCAUCAAUAGGCUGUGGUGAACCCAGGCCUCUGAGGAGGCAGCUUGGCUCCCUGAGUCAGUGGGGCUAUAGUGAAAGGUUGACACCAGCCUUCUCCCAGCUCUGAGGAUAGGAUUGAUUGGGGGGUGGAGAGGGGAUAGCUUGAUAUAUUACAAUCUAACCCUAUGGGAAUAAAUGUGACAUUAUGGAGAAGGUUCUAGAAGCUUACAGAAGCUCUUUCUGGGACGGGCCUUGCAUUUAAUGGACAGUUUUACUUUUGUUUGUUUGUUUUGUUAUGGUAGUGGUGGUAGUGGAUUUUGUUGUUGUUUUCUUAAUGCAGUGAGUCUCCAAGGAACGGAGUUCUGCUUGAUUUACUGGCCUCUCUUCCAGCCAUGUCUGGAGAACUGACAGGAGGACUGGGGUAAGGGAGCAAUGGCCGGCCCUGAUGAUCCUAGGGUCUCCCUUCAUCCUGGCCUCCUUUAUCCCAACUUGGAGCCCUUCGAAAGCUUGCCGCGUGUGGACACACGUGGCCUCUGCUGCAGACCCUGCAUGCCUCCCUGUCCCCCGCAUACCAUUGCCCUCACUCCUGCUCUGCACUGUUGGGUCUGGGAACCUAAGUCCCUCUCUCAGGAGGCUCCUCAUGCUCGCCCUGUCUCUGAUGCCAGGCCAUGGCACACUUCUGCUGUCCUCACAGGGGCCAUGCUGCUGUCCUGAUGAACUUCCAGUUCUCGUGAGUCUAAGGCUCAGGUCAGAUUCUAUGUUCCACAGGCUGCCAAGGCCCCAUACUCUGGAUGCUACAUGGCCAGUGAUACUCUGUGUUAGCUGUCCCUUGAGGCAGGGCAAGCCCAGGUUCUGACCAUUUGCAGAAUGACGGUUCAGCACAAAGCCAUCUCCCCUAGUGAACUUUACCGAGUGGCAAGAAAGCUCUGUAUGCGGCCAUUUCUGCUCUUGCAUCGUUCUGCGUCUGGGUAUCUGCUCAGGCACACGAUGACUGUUCACCACCCUUCUCCCAGGACAGCCCUGCAGUGGGCAGAGCAGCCCACGUGGCUCCCUAUUCAACUGUCCUUGUCCUUUAAGCCAACUCUGUGCUUAGUUUAGUUGCUAAUUUUUUUUCAAUUUCUACUUCCUGUUAAAACUGUGUUUGGUUGCAGAUAUGAGAACAAUACCGAUCUGGUUUGAACUCACGUCUUAUUUGCAUAAAAAAAAGCAAAGCCGGGGUACCAGCACCACGGUAUCCUCUGACUUUCAUCCUUAAAGUUCCCUUGGAGUGCUAUAAAGCCAGGAGCCAGACGCCUCCACCUCACUCUUUUUGGUGAAGAAAUGAAAGGACAUGAAAAAAAAUAGGAUCUGGCAAGAUGGCUCAGCAGAUUAAAGGCAGUUGCUGCCAAGCUGGACAGCCUGAGUUCGAUUCCCAGAACCCACAUGGUAGAGCAAGGUAAUUGAUUCUUGCAAGUUGUCCUCUGACCUCCACGACAUGUUCAUGCCAAGGCCACCAACACACUGCACACACACACACACACACACACACACACACACACAGAGAGAGAGAGAGAGAGAGAGAGAGAAACCUGUGUCCCUAUUUGAAAAGCCUGUUCCCUAUAUUUUGCAGCAGCUUUCUCGGAUAUCUUGCUGUCACCAUAAAUUUUAAGGGACGUGUGACUGGAUUUAGCUAGGAACAUUGCUGCCCAAAAUAAAGUAAUAAAGAAUGAAUAUUGACAGUGUCAGAAGGUGCUGUGGGCAGGGUCUCCGGAUGACAAGAACCUGGGCAGACCUAGACACAAACUGUAUGGAGUCAGAUAAAUAAACCUGGCCAUUCUGGCCUCCAUGAGGGCAGGGUACAGCCCCCACCCCUGAGCCUGGUACCAGGCCACGACCUAGCACCUCCCAAGCCCUUCAGGAAGGGCCUCCUGGGUCAGUUCACUGCAGGGUCACAGGUAAGCAAGCACCCACUGGGAGAGUGUGUGUAGCAAUUGCCAUUACGGGAACUGGACCUUGAGCCUUUGUGGGACAAGAUUAGGAGCUGAAGUCCAAGGAGAACCGAGUCAUUGCAGAAUUGGAGCGGCCCUGGGUGGCAAUCUCCAGGGACAUCUGGACACCAGGCGUGUCCUGUUGUGUGCAGCUUCUGAUGAACCCAUGACUUCACAGUAAGGUACCAGGGUGGGUGCCAGUGGGGGCAGUGGGGAUAACCAUGCCAUGGGAGCUCCUGGGACAUCUGUACAUCUCCCACUGCCCAUGACCAACAACCCUCUGACCUCCUGUCCUCAUAGCCUCACCUUUGACCCUGCUUGUCCUAGAACACAGAGUGGAGAUUGUGGGAAACGUGGAUUCCAGCAUGUGGAGUAUUCCUCAACUACUGUACAACAGAUCACUACCAGGUCACGAUUUCAGUGCAGCCUCACUUCUUGCCGUUUCUACCUGGACCACUGCUCAUCACUGUCAGGGUCAUUUCUGCCAAGUGUGUGAAAUGUCAGCAGGGCUUCGAGCUGGGCCUCCUUCUCCAUCUACCCCUGAAGACUACAGCAGAGCCUUGGCAACUCCUCCCAGUGGGAGCUGCCAUCUUGGUAACUAUUCCUGUGAGGCUGGACUUCUGGACAGAAUCCUACAUUUAACAACCAGAAACUCUCCCAGCAGCAGCACACACAGAUGCCUGAGGAGCCCUAGCUGGUUACUUCGAGUCAGAAAUUUGUACAAAUAUAAAACAAUGCCACUUUCCUUGCUGAAACCUUGUUUUGGAAAAUACAUUUUUCAUACAAUUGGUCUUGAUGGUAACAUGUAAUAGGUUUAUUGUUCUGAAAUAAAUAACAUUUGCAUGUGUCUAAAGUUGAUUUUUUUAAGGUUUUCUCUAGGUACUAGUGCUGCUGUCUGGAACUCUUCAAAGUUCUCUGGGAUCCUUGAUCACUUUUCUGAGUCACCAGGAUCCGUGAGAUGAUGGUCUGGACUCUACCAUGCUCCAGUGACAUGCUGAGCUGCCCGCUGAGGUGCUGCAUGAACUGUGGAGCUGCCACUUAAAGGAACAUCUCCUCAGAUGGAUCCUUGAAGAGGCUGUUACAGUCCUCUUAGC